rnacentral:rRNA from 1 species
UACGUAGGGGGCUAGCGUUGUCCGGAUUCAUUGGGCGUAAAGGGUGCGUAGGCGGCGCGGUAAGUCGGGUGUGAAAUCUCGGAGCUUAACUCCGAAACUGCAUUCGAUACUGCCGUGCUUGAGGACUGGAGAGGAGACUGGAAUUUACGGUGUAGCGGUGAAAUGCGUAGAUAUCGUAAGGAAGACCAGUGGCGAAGGCGGGUCUCUGGACAGUUCCUGACGCUGAGGCACGAAGGCCAGGGGAGCAAACGGG